GCCAGGUCUCAAACCCAGUCCUCGGGUUUCCAGUUCCGAGCGGGCCUCACUGCAUGGUGCCUGCUCUAGUAGCUGAAAACCCACUGGUAUGAAGGUGUUGUUCCUUGCUUCAUGGGGCUGGGAGACUGGAGAGGAGUGAUGUGUCAGGGAGAGGAUGAUGUGAGGGGAAGGAGGGGGUACCCAGAAAGAGGAAAUAGCCUCAGUGGCCAGAGACCCCCUUAUCACUAUGCUUCUUAGAGGUGGCACAGGUGGGGCCUUUCUUUAACUUUGCAUUUUCGGGCCCUGGUACAUAGAAGGUGCCUAAUAAAUGUGUUGGAUGAAUGGAUUUCUUAUCAAACACAAACAGCCACUGUCCCCCACCCAACAACAACAACAACAACAAAAUCCUGGGACGAGGCCCCGUUGCCUAAGUGGUGAUUGCUGGCCACAACUCACAGCUGGGCCAUCGACGUGUGAGUGAUGUCAAAAAAAACAUGCUUUUGAUGCUGUUUGAGGAAACUGGAUGAGCUGUGAAGGGCGAGGGUGUAAAGAGGGUCCAGUUAAGAUUUGUAGAGAGUUUAGCUAAAAAGCUUGGGUCAUAAAUAUCAUCUCCUUUCUUUGCUCUUUUCUCACCCACCUCUCUUCAUUUGCAUUAGUUGAGGUAGUCAUUAGUGCCAUAGAAGUAUUUCUAGUUCCUUGCUUUCUAGGUAGAUGGUAGGCGGAGCUUCUUUGCCUGUUUUGUCAUCAGUUACAGCUGCCUGUCUUGGUUCAGCCAGUGAAAUUGCAGAAGUGACACUUGUCGUCUCGGAAUGGAAGCUUUAAUAACCAGCAUGCUGUUAGCCACUGUCCCCUUUACCUCUCUCGGCAACUGAGGCAGCGUGAAGUUGGAGCCUCCCUCAGUCUGAUUCCCAAGUGAAGAUGAUGUGGAGCAGAGCCCUCUGCCAAACCAUGAUGGACGUGCAGCAAUCAGUGAGGAGGGAGCCUUCGCUCUUAAGACACUGACACUUCGCUCUUGUCUGUUACCGCAGCAUAAUCUGUCCUGUCCUGACUGAUACAGGUAGAGCACAAGCUAAAAUAAUCACAACUUGUUUAGAGAUGUGUAGCCCUCUGUCCAUGGAAUUCUCCAGGAAGGAAUACUGGAGUGGCUUGCCAUUCCCUUUUCCUGGGGAUCUUCCUGACCCAGGGACUGAACCCCGGUCUAUUGCACGGCAGGCCGAGUCUUUACUGUCUGACCCACCAGGGAAGCUCUAGCGAUGUGUGUAAGCCUUUUUAUUCCUUCACAUGUCAUGCUUAAAAUUUUAGUGUUUGAAGGUGUUGUGGAUACAAAAUGGGUGAGCCCCACUGCUCUGUGAGGUAAAGGUCAGUCUUUGUGGCACAGAUUAUGGGAACUGUACCGACUGCACCCCAGCCUCAUCUGCUUUGGUCCCAUGUGGUCCUGCCAGACAAGUCCACAGCAGCCUCGAAACGGGCCACGUGUGCUGGAGCAACUCCAGGCCUUUGCCUGAGCUCUGCCUAGAAUGGGACAUCCCCAGGAAGUCACGUCACUUGAUGAGUGGCUGUGGUGGAGAAUGACGAGGGCAUGGAGGGAGAGGAGAGCAUUGGGUUGGUUCUGUGCGGCAUGGAAGACCAGAAUUAGGACCGAGAGUGAGAGUCCUGUUCAGUGUGAGAGAGUUUUCUAGCUAUGAGGGCCUGGCCUGGCACAGUAGUGAGCUCACCACACUAGGAAGUUUCCAAGUAGGGGUGAGAUGUCAUGGUGGAGGUUUCAAGUCAUCAAAACUAGCAUAAACUUUCCAAUCAUGUCGAACAUGACUUUAGGUGAGGAUUGUCCAAAAAAGCUGGAUCUUGGCCAUAAUUCUCUAUUUCUUUUUCCCUUUUAAAAAUAAAAAUAGCUCCCCCUCCAAAUUAUAGAUUGGUUAUAUAAUGAUUAUGGAAAUACAAAUGAUAUCAGAAAGUACAAAGUAAAACUCAAAUGCAAUGCCAUAAAACACAGCUAACCUACAUUAACAUUUCCUUCCAGAUAAUGUCCUUCCAGAUGUUUCUCAAUGAUUGAUAGGUAAAUAGAUAGAUUUUUUUUUAAUCUUUCUGCCACUCAGUAGUAGAGUAUGGGCAUCUUAAAUAGUAGUAAAUAUUUCUCUACCUUGUCUUUUAUAAGUGGCUUUGCUGUAACUUAUUUAAUAGAUCGCUUCCUGGCGGUUGUUCCUGAAUUGUGCCAUUAGGGGCACCAUCGGGAUGGAUGUCUUGUCUGUGGACCCUGGGCUUGUGUUCAGGCAUCUCCUGAGGACCUGUUCCUAGAAGUGACACCGACUGACUCAGACAAAAUGGUUUGGGAUGAAAGGAGAGGUGAGAGCCGUGGCAUGUUCAGGUAGAGGAACCACUUCUGGCAGGAGGGCAGCCUGCAAAAGGCCCGAAGGAGGAGGGCGAUGAAAGGGAGACGGUGGCUGGUCUGGAAGGCUGAGGCAGUGGGAGAGAAGGGGAGGACAUGGAUGGAGCCGGAUUUAGACCCUCAGUCCCAGCUUUGGGUGAGCCAUUCCCCAGGCAAAGGCCAACUAUGACGGCAGCUAAGAUUUACUAGAGCCAGGCAAUUACAGGUGUUUUUAUGUGCACAUCAGAGCCCCACCACCACCUUGCAAGGAAGGUCUCUGUCCCCAUUUUACAGAGCAGCAAGGUGAGGCCUGGAGAGGAUGCAGCAAACUGCUGUUGUCUCCACCUGCAGUGUGUGGGCCCCUGCAGAGUUCAGCCCCUUCGCCUGCUCGCACCCUGGCUGGCUCACGCCUUCCGUCUUGGCAGACGCCAUCUCAGCCAGCUCUUUCCCACUCUUGGAAAGGAAGACUGACCGUAGGUGACUCCUUUUUGAAGUUUUUCUUCAUGGCUCCUCGUCCACCCCAGUCAGCCCCCCAAAGUAAGGCAGAACUUCUCAGGGCUCAGAAAGGUGUCCUGCAGGCCAUCACGAGACUGCUCACUCUUGGGUAUUCACCGUUGAACCAGGGAGCCUGCAUUUGGCUUCAGUGAAUUGGAGUCCCUGACUCGACUAACAGAGAGUAAGACCCUUUCUUAUCUCACAUGAUCCAAAGCUCUGGAGUCAGCUAAUUCAGCAGUUCAUUCCAUGCCAUCAAAACCCACAGUCUUUCUGUCCUUCUCCUCUGCUAUCAUUAUCUAAAAGGGUUCCGCUGUCCUGAGCAUCCCCUGAAGAUGGCACAAGACCCAGGGGACAAAAGGCAGAGGCAGCUCUCUGUUUCUUUUAUCAGGGAAGAAGGCUUUCCCAGAAGCCCCCAGCCCACUUUCCUUUCUGUCUCAUUGGCUGGAAUUGGGUCACAUGCCCUGUCUAAACCAGUCACUGCCAAGGGAAUGUGACUGAGGGCUUUAAAGGACCAGGACUUAUCCCUCCAUCAGUUAAGGGCAGAGGUAGAUGUCCAACACAGUCAGGGUUCUGCCAGCCAGGAAAAGAAUGACCACUGGGGAGGCAGCUCCCAGGGUCUGCUCAACUGUGUGCUCACACUCCCAGCUCAUCUGCUAGGCUGGGAACCGUGAGAGGACAGGGGCUUGGGACUUACCCCUUCCUGUGUCUUCUGCAGGCUAGCACAGGGCUUGGCACCUUGUGGAUAUUGAGCAAACUAUGGGUUGAAUGAAUGAAUGAAACAAAUCAGUAGGUGUUUCUGGAGACUGCACUGGACCCUGAAAUCUCUGUGUACCAACAGUGCCAGUGAUCUGUCGGUUGGGGCAGGGGUGGUUUAAGUAUUUCAGAGAGUAUAGGAAUGGCUUUGUCCUCAAAGGGGCUGUAAUUUGGCAGUGGGGAGAACACUAGCGCCUAAGCAAUGUGUAGAAUUCGGGCCUGGAUGGUGGCACUGACAAGACAUGUCACAGAAGGUAAAUGCCUCCGCAGGAGCCCAGAUCAGUAGGGCAAGGCCCAUUAGGGACCAGAUACUGUGAAGGGCAGUGGUGGGUGGAGAAAAACGCUGUGUGCUCUGAGACUGGGGGUGAGGUAGUGGAUACGGGGUAGUAGGGCACCAGCUGGUCCUGAGGAGGACUUGUUCCUGAGAGCCUACUGUGUCCUGGGCAUCACACUUGUAUUUAUUUCAUCUGCUCUUUCCUGUGUCUCUAUGAAAUGGAUCAUCCCGUCCCAUUUUGUAGAUGGGGAAACUGAGACUCAGAGGGUGAGUUACCUUGUCGGACAUCACAGAGCCAGGAAGUGGUAGAGUUUGGCUGAGAGAGCACAUCUGUCCUGAAACGCUGGCUCCAUUCCACAAAGGGGCUGGGAUGGCCUUCGAGGGCCCACCUAAGACCAGCAGACCGUGGAGUGAAUGGGAAAGGGGAGCCUGUAAACUGGCAAGGAGGGCCUUGAGAAGCUUGGCGCUGUGCAACAAGGGAGUGAGACAUCCCUGUGGAAGAGGUGCUUGCAGCAGGAUUCAGGGUGAGACUGAGGAGCCAUGAUCCUUGGCAUCAGAGCUGACCUCACAUCCCUGAUCUCCCAGCCAGUAGCUGUGACCUUGAUGGGACACUUAGCUUCUCCAUCCCUCAGUCUCUCCAUCUAUAAAAUGACAAUAAUAAUUAAAUAUGUACCCAGUGCCUGGCACAUAAGGAGAAUUUAAUAAAUGGAGCUAUUAUAAUUAUUAAUAUCAUUGUUGCUGCUGUUUUAGAGCCUGGUGGGUGAUCACAUUUUGUGGUGACCCCCUUGGUGUGGGGUCCUGGGUUCCAGCUCUGCCUUUAUCACACCCACACAUUUUACCUUGACUGCAUCCUGCACCCAGCCUGGCUCUCCAGGCUUCCUCUGCAAACUUAAGAGGGGGUGGGCCAGCUGAAUUCUAGCCUUCUCCUUGUUCUAAGCUCUGCACUUGUGUGAGGUGGAAGAGGGAGGCUGCAAUGACAAAUGGGAUCAGAAUGGAGUGAGGGGGUGUUGGGGAUGCCAUUGUUCAGGGGAAACAAAGGAAGGGAAGGGCAGAGGUGGGAAGGAGGAGCAGAGAGGAGCCCGAGCAGGUGUGCAAGCCGGUGGCCGGACAGCCGGUGGCCGGACAGUUUGGAGGGGAGCAGAGGCAGCCUGCUGAAACCGACCAGGCAGAAGCUCCCUGAGAACAGCUGCGUCUGACACCUGCCUGCGUUGUGGCAGAACCAGCGAGAGAGAGGAAGAGAGAGAGAGAGCGAUCAAUCAUCGUUCUUCCUGAUGUUUAAUACCUGGGAGGCAGGGCUUUGAAGAGUGUAUGUGUUCAAAGACUGAAAUUGAAUUUCUCCAAAGUUUGCAGGAACACUGCAAUUAUGCCUGAGAACAUGUCUAUGAAAUCCCCUUGAAAUCUAUUUUUGGCACAAGGUUUUAUAACCAGAGUCAGAAAUUGAGUGGAAGUGUGUGGGAGGCUGACCCUGGACAGAUUCCAUGUUUUAAAGGGGAAAGGGUAUUUUUAACUGCAAACACCCCUGUCUCCUGGGGUGAGACCAGGGAAGAGGCAGUUUUACCACUUUGGGUUUCCCACCCACUGUCGUGUUAAGACGGCAACUAUCUUUGACAGAAGUUGUUUGAGUUCCUUUCUCAGAGUGGGUGGCCUAGGGCUGAGGGAUGAGGGGGAAACUUGUCUGGGAGUUCUGUAUGUUGGAACAGAGAUAUAUCUUAAUUUGCCAGAGACUCCUUCAAAUCCAUCUUGUGCGGCUGUCACUGUGCCCAGGGAGAUUUGCCCGGCGGGAGAUUUCUCCAACGCUGCUGUAUCAGUUAGCUGUUGCUUGGUAACAAAUUGCCCCAGUCUUGAUGUCUUGAAGCAGUUGGUUUGUAUUAUUGGUAACGAGUGUACAGUUCAGCUGAAUGGUUCUUCUGGCCCCGCUGGAUUCCCUGACAUGUCUGUGGUCUGUUGUCAGUCGGGUAAGCAGCUCUGUUGACCGUGGUGGGCUCUUUCACAGGUGUGGGGGGUCAGCUGGCUCAGGGCUGGCCUGGGACAGUCUCUAUGGGACAGCUCAGCUCGGCUGUACGCUGUGUCUUCUCCUCCAGCAGCAGGUGUGGGUCUGUUGGAGAGGCAGUGGCAGGGCUGUGAGAGAAAACAGAAGCACGCAAGGGUCACUGAGAGCUGGGCUCAAAAUUGGCACAAGGUCACUUCCAGUGCAUGCGUGCAUGCUCAAUUGCUCAGUUGAGUCAGACUCUCUGUGACCCCGUGGCCUGUAGCCCGCCAGGCUCCUCUGUCCACGGGAUUCUCCAGGCAAGAUUGCUGGAAUGGAUUACCCUGUCCUCCUCCAGGAGAUCUUCCUGACCCAGGGUUCAAACCCACGUCUCUUAUAUCUCUUGCAUUGGCAGGUGGGUUUUUUUGUUUUUUGGGUUUUGGUUUUUUUUACCACGAGCGCCACCUGGAAAACCUCCUGUUGGCCAAAACAAGUUAUGAGGUCACAUCAAUUCCAGGAUUGGGGAAAUAUGAUGGUACUUCUUGAAUGGCAGAGUCACAUUGAAAAGGGCUGGGGUCCAGGCAGGCCUUCAAUUGGGACCACCAACACCUCCAUUCGGUCCCCUGCACACACGUGAGCUUCAGCGUCACCCUCUGGGGCUGUCACAUUAGCGGUAGUCUUUCCUUAUAGUCGUCCCUAUGCCCAGGAGUCCCUUGCCAUGCAGAGUUUUCUAAGAGCCUUCUCUGUGGAAUAAGGAAAGUAUAUGUUGCCACAUCGGAGAAGGCAAUGGCACCCCACUGCAGUACUCUUGCAUGGAAAAUCCCAUGGAUGGAGGAGCCUGGAAGGCUGCAGUCCAUGGGGUCGCUGAGGGUUGGACACGACUGAGCGACUUCCCUUUCACUUUUUACUUUCAUGCAUUGGAGAAGAAAAUGGCAACCCACUCCAGUGUUCUUGCCUGGAGAAUCCCAGGGACGGGGGAGGCUGGUGGGCUGCUGCCUCUGGGGUGGCACAGAGUCGGACACGACUGAAGCACCUUAGCAGCAGCAGCCCCCACGUAACGUGAGAUCAGUUUGCACUUGCGUUGUUGUCUCGUCGCUUCGGUCGUGUUGGACAGUUUGCAGUUUGCACCCGGAUGGACUGUAGCCCACCUGGCCUCUUGGUCCCUGGGAUGCUGGUGACGAUGUGGGGGAAAUAGAUGUAUCCAUGGCUGGUCAGGGUUUCCAUGGCAUUUAAGGGGGCAAUUCUGCUAUAUUUCUUCCUUUUUUAAUUUAAUUUUUUUUAAAUUGGAGGAAUAUUGCUUUACAAUGUUGCGUUGGUUUCUGCCAUACAACAAUGCAAACCAGCAGUAAUUAUCUGCUGUAUUUCUUAGAAUUAAAAACACAUGUAAGGGUUAAACGCAGUACGGAAUGACCAUAUCAUGGAUGAAUUGCUGAUAGACACAACUACCCAGAUGAACCUCAAGGCGUGAAAAAGGCCAGUCCCACAAACUUAUUUGUUCCAUGACUCCGUUUGGGUAACUUUGGUGACGUAACAUAAUCUUAGGGUUGGAGAACAAGUCAGUGGUGGUCAGGGGUCAGGGAU
ensembl:lncRNA